AGCGUGGAGACAGGUGGUGCAUGGCUGUCGUCAGCUCGUGUCGUGAGAUGUUGGGUUAAGUCCCGCAGCGAGCGCAACCCUCACCCCUUGUUGCCAUCAGGUGAUGCUGGGCACUCUAGGGGAACUGCCCCGGUCAACGGGGAGGAAGGCGGGGAUGACGUCAAGUCAUCAUGCCCCUUACGUCCUGGGCUACACACGUGCUACAAUGGCCGGUACAAAGGGAUGCAAGACCGUGAGGUGGAGCUAAACCCAAAAAGCCGGUCUAAGUUCAGAUUGGAGUCUGCAACUCGACUCCAUGAAGGAGGAAUCGCUAGUAAUCGCGCAUCAGCACGGCGCGGUGAAUACGUUCCCGGGCCUUGUACACACCGCCCGUCACACCACGAAAGCCAGCUGUACUCGAAGUCGCUGAG
rnacentral:rRNA from 1 species